rnacentral:misc_RNA from 1 species
UCCGAGUUGUCCCCGGCAGUCCCCUUAGAGUCCCCGGCAUUACCCGCUGGCAACUAAGAGCAGGGGUUGCGCUCGUUGCGGCACUUAAGCCAACACCUCACGGCACGAGCUGACGACAGCCAUGCAGCACCUGUGCUGGUACCCGACUCUACGGGUCGCCGACCCUUUCGGGCGACUACUGCCAGCAUGUCAAACCCUGGUAAGGUUCUUCGCUUUGCAUCGAAUUAAGCCACAUGCUCCGCCGCUUGUGCGGGUCCCCGUCAAUUCCUUUGAGUUUUAGCCUUGCGGCCGUACUCCCCAGGCGGAGUGCUUAAUGCGUUAGCUGCGGCACAGAGAGGGUUGAAGACCUCCCCACACCUAGCACUCAACGUUUACGGCGUGGACUAC